UACGUAGGGACCGAGCGUUGUCCGGAUUCAUUGGGCGUAAAGAGCUCGUAGGCGGCUGCUCAAGUCGAAUGUGAAAACUCGAGGCUCAACCUCGAGCCUGCAUUCGAUACUGGGCGGCUAGAGUCUGGUAGGGGGAUCUGGAAUUCCUGGUGUAGCGGUGGAAUGCGCAGAUAUCAGGAGGAACACCGGUGGCGAAGGCGGUUCUCUGGGCCUGUACUGACGCUGAGGAGCGAAAGCGUGGGGAGCGAACAGG
rnacentral:rRNA from 1 species